rnacentral:lncRNA from 1 species
CGGGAAUCCUGUGAAAUAAGGCAACAUUGUAAGAGACUGCAAAUCCAAAGAAAAAGGUGAUAGUGAGAGUGCCAAGUACUACUCUCACACACUGGACCAGUUGUCGGAGGUCAGUCAUACCAAACAGGCUGAAUUGCUGUAUCAACUCAUCAUUUUGAUGUCUCAACAACAGCAGUCAACAGCACCAGUGAUGAGGAGAAUUCCAGGCUACCACCUCACAGCCUGGAACUAACCGCUUUCAAUUUGCAUCUUUUGGAAAGCAGUAACAGAACAGCCAUCAGUUCAUUUAGAUCCUGGA